rnacentral:rRNA from 1 species
UACGGGGGGAGCAAGCGUUGUUCGGAUUUACUGGGCGUAGAGGGCGCGUAGGCGGUCGUGACAAGUCACUUGUGAAAUCUCCGGGCUCAACCCGGAAACUGCAUUGCGAACUGACCUAGCUGGAGUGCAGGAGAGGGCAGCGGAAUUCCCGGUGUAGCGGUGAAAUGCGUAGAUAUCGGGAAGAACACCAGUGGCGAAGGCGGCUGCCUGGCCUGUAACUGACGCUGAGACGCGAAAGCGUGGGGAGCGAACCGG